GACGAACGCUGGCGGCGUGCCUAACACAUGCAAGUUGAGCGAAUGAAGUUCCUUCGGGAAUGGAUUUAGCGGCGGACGGGUGAGUAACACGUGGGCAACCUGCCUCAUAGAGGGGAAUAGCCUUCCGAAAGGGAGAUUAAUACCGCAUAAGAUUGUAGUACCGCAUGGUACAGCAAUUAAAGGAGCAAUCCGCUAUGAGAUGGGCCCGCGGCGCAUUAGCUAGUUGGUGAGGUAAUGGCUCACCAAGGCGACGAUGCGUAGCCGACCUGAGAGGGUGAUCGGCCACAUUGGGACUGAGACACGGCCCAGACUCCUACGGGAGGCAGCAGUGGGGAAUAUUGCACAAUGGGGGAAACCCUGAUGCAGCAACGCCGCGUGAGUGAUGACGGCCUUCGGGUUGUAAAGCUCUGUCUUCAGGGACGAUAAUGACGGUACCUGAGGAGGAAGCCACGGCUAACUACGUGCCAGCCGCCGCGGUAAGAC
rnacentral:rRNA from 1 species